ensembl:lncRNA
GGCUACUCUCGGGAACCGGCAGCGUCAAUGACGCCCGAAUAACAACAGCUAGGCCGGUUCCGAUGCUCAGUUACACAUACAUAGUACCUUCGGAGGUCGAAGCCUGAAACAGGCGAGGAAGCACAGGACCCUUGCGUGCCUGAUAGAGAAACUCUCCAGGCGGAAUACAAGCCUGUAGCAGAGCUGGCUUGGGAGGCGCAAUCGCCACGGAGGAAAACUCCUUUAUACCAACAUCUAACGAUGUAGCCACUCAAUUGCAACCAGGCCGCUUGUGGAUUCCGGUGCUCCCUUCACAAAACGCCUCUCCUAUGGAUAAGUUCCCGUCUGCAUUAAGUACUGCGUUCAAUCACGUCUGAGGUUCACGGAUUGGUGGAGCUAAAACGGAGGGAGAGGACAGCAAUCAGUGGACAGCAGACCGAGAGAGAAAGAAAACAAGGCAAUGGGGCAGUCCUACUACACGUCACAUCAAACACCUGUGAAUUACGACGACAGAGACCUCAAGAAACCCAGGACCUAACUAUUACCAGAGGGCUGAGAGACAAACAGGG